UCACAGCGUUGACUGCAUGUCAUUGUGCGCCUCAAGCUCACACAUACACUUUCACUGUACUAUUUUGUGCAUUGCCUGUAAUUUAAUUUGGUAAAACUUUGAGCUUAGUUCUGUAAGUUUAUUUUAGUUUAACAUGUGUGUUAGUGGUUGGUGUUGACCAUAUCACUUGUCUUGCACCAAGAUCAGCGCCAAGUAUGAGCACAAGGCCCAGCUGUUUUCUCACCCCUGUUCACUUAGGAAUGAUUCGCAGCUUUCAUCAAAGAAAAGGAAGCAUCUAAAAGUUGAGACAGACUGGCUGAGGAGGCUGCUUUGUUAGGAGGAAAAUAUCUGACAGCCUCGUCCUGACAUCACACACACAAAGUCGAGGAACCGGAAGCAGGGAGGAGGACCGACAGAUGAAGGAUGACCUGCUUGCUGGGCUACCCAUUACUGAUUCUUGAGAAAAGGAGCACCGACAGGCUGGAUGAAGAGGCUGCUUGCAGUCGCUGAGGAUGAGAGGAUGUAACUCCAAUUUGAAACCAUCUCAUCAAGACAAAACCGAGGAACCGGAAGCAGGGAGGAGGACCGACAGAUGAACUGGUGACCCUGCUUGCUGGGCAUCCCAUUACUGAUUCUUGAGACAAGGAGCACUGACGGGCAUUGAACUGGCUGGAUGAAGCGGCUGCUUCCAGUCGGUGAGGCCGAGAGGAUGUGAUCGACGCCAAUUUGAAACCAUCGCAUCAAGACAAAACCGAGGAAUUGGAAGCAGGGAGGAGGACCGACAGAUGAACUGAUGACCCUGCUUGUUGGGCCUGCCAUUACUGAUUCCCGAGGUGAAUUUUGCUCAAAUAAAAAUUGCAGUCGACUCUCGUUUAAAAUACAAACAUCGGCCAGACAAAGCCAAAAUGUUUGUAAUAUCAGAAUGUUAUAUUAAGUGGAGUGCCAGUUAUAAUUAUUCACUGUACACGUAAAAUAAUGCACAUGGCUUUGUUUGCUAUAUAACUAGAAUUUAUCUUAAGUGUUUGUAUUGACGAGAGUCGAAUAACUGCGAGGCUUCUUCAAGGGUUUAAAAGAUGCGUUAAAUAAUCAAAUCACAAGCCAUCGAGGUCCAUAUUGAAUUAAAUAUGGGACAGUAUAUUUUGCAAGUCGUUAUUUUUUCCAAUUAGGCAACAAUAUUCGAAAAAUUAAAGAAGUCUCUUUUUGGCAUUAAAGGGAAUAUACAUCAUUUGCUUUUGCUGUAAUUUUCAGAAAUGGAUGGAAUUGGGGGGUUGGAAAUAUAUAGCAAAUAUAGUUACACUGACUUUUUUGAGGUUUUGGGUUCGAAAAUGCUAUAAACUGUUCUAUAAACUGCAACAGAUGGUUAUUAACUUGACAGUAAAUUUUAAGAUUCAAGUCAUAAAGAGUUUUAAACAAUUUCAGAAAGUGAAAAUUAAUUGUUUAAGAUGUUGGAGAAAUGUCACAAAUUUAAGGCCGCCAUGCAUGCAUUAAAAUUGAAAUGAUUAUUUUUUUCUAUGGAGAUAUUUCUUUUAUUGCAUUGCAACAGGUAACUAUAGCACUCAAAAUACAGUUGCGUUUAUCCUUUUAUGAUAUAUUUGAUUGCACAGUUUUACUGAUAAUUAACUUUAUUUUUCACUUUGUGUUUAUUGGUGUUUUUUUAUGUCUUUUCAUUUAAUUAAUUGUUUAAGUAACCCGACAAAAGGAUAAAUGCAAUGUAUACUGAGUGCUGAACUUGCCUCAUAUCAAAAAUUGUAGAUAAAAAGUGCUUACAAUACUUUAAAUCAAUCAUCUAUGAAUGUUGAUUUUUUUUUGGGGGGGGGGUUGGCUGUUUCCUGAUUGCUACUUAAUUUAUUGAGUCGCGAAAAAAAGCCAAAUUCAAAGAAACCAGCUUUACCCUGUUAUUGCAUGCUAUGCUAUGUCUUGCACCGCAACCCUAUAAUGUUCUUACUUUUUUUAAAGGUACAUUAUUUUAAGCUAAAGUUCAAAAUGUCCGAAUUGAAUUGCUUCAAAACAAAUUAAAAUGUGUAUUAUUAUUAUAAGAUGUUGCUAUUAGUUUCUACUGACCUAUCUUAUUCCUGACUUUGUUAGUCAACUGAGGGCAUUUGACCAAUCAGCGGCGGUUGCUCUUUAAAUCCCACCAAUCCAAUCACUUUGACUGCCACAGAUCAGCAUUGGGUGGCCCCGUCAUUCCCCUCAUAUACUCGGUCAUGAUUGAAAUGGAGUUGUCGACAGAGCAAGUGGGAUCAUGUUGCACUGGGAGAAUUUAAUUAUUUGUUAAUUUAUGUGUAUUGUUAAUUUAUUGUAUUCUAGAAUCCAUUGUCAGUAUUGUUUUGUAAGGAAUUGGUAAAAACGUCGGUAUGUCAAUCGGUUGUAAAGAAUAACAAAGAAAUAAACUUAAAGAAAUGAGA
rnacentral:lncRNA from 1 species